UACGGAGGGAGCUAGCGUUGUCCGGAAUUACUGGGCGUAAAGGGUGCGUAGGCGGAUAUUUAAGUAGAAAGUGAAAGGUUGGAGCUCAACUCCAACAUUGCUUCCUAUACUGGAUGUCUUGAGUUUCGGAGAGGAAGAUGGAACGACACGUGUAGCGGUGAAAUGCGUUGAUAUGUGUCGGAACACCAAUAGCGAAGGCAAUCUUCUGGACGAAUACUGACGCUGAGGCACGAAAGCCAAGGUAGCGAACAGG
rnacentral:rRNA from 1 species